GAUGAACGCUAGCGAUAGGCCUAACACAUGCAAGUCGAGGGGCAGCACGGGAGUAGCAAUACAACUGGUGGCGACCGGCGCACGGGUGAGUAACGCGUAUGUAAUCUACCUACAACAGGGGGAUAACCCGGAGAAAUCCGGACUAAUACCGCAUAAAACAGGGGUCCCGCCUGGGACUAUUUGCUAAAGAUUUAUCGGUUGUAGAUGAGCAUGCGUUCCAUUAGAUAGUUGGUAAGGUAACGGCUUACCAAGUCAGCGAUGGAUAGGGGAACUGAGAGGUUUGUCCCCCACACUGGAACUGAGACACGGACCAGACUCCUACGGGAGGCAGCAGUGAGGAAUAUUGGUCAAUGGGCGAGAGCCUGAACCAGCCAAAUCGCGUGAAGGAAGACUGCCUUAUGGGUUGUAAACUUCUUUUACAGGGGAAUAAAAAGACAUACGAGUAUGUCAUUGCAUGUACCCUGUGAAUAAGCAUCGGCUAACUCCGUGCCAGCAGCCGCUGUAA
rnacentral:rRNA from 1 species